rnacentral:rRNA from 1 species
UUAGUGGCGGACGGGUGAGUAACGCGUGGAAAACCUGCCGUAUACUGGGGGAUAACACUUAGAAAUAGGUGCUAAUACCGCAUAAGCGCACAGCUUCGCAUGAAGCGGUGUGAAAAACUCUGGUGGUAUACGAUGGUUCCGCGUCUGAUUAGCUAGUUGGUGGGGUAAUGGCCUACCAAGGCAACGAUCAAUAGCCGGCCUGAGAGGGUGAACGGCCACAUUGGGACUGAGACACGGCCCAAACUCCUACGGGAGGCAGCAG